rnacentral:rRNA from 1 species
AUACGUAGGUGGCGAGCGUUGUCCGGAAUUAUUGGGCGUAAAGCGCGUGUAGGCGGUCUUUUAAGUCUGAUGUGAAAGCCCCGGGCUCAACCCGGGAAGUGCAUUGGAAACUGGGAGACUUGAAUACGGGAGAGGGUAGUGGAAUUCCUAGUGUAGGAGUGAAAUCCGUAGAUAUUAGGAGGAACACCGGUGGCGAAGGCGGCUACCUGGACCGAUAUUGACGCUGAGACGCGAAAGCGUGGGGAGC